rfam:Paenibacillus sp. FSL H7-0357, complete genome.
UCUGCCGUGAGGCGGAAUUUGCAGGAAGCUAGAGGCAAUCCCUCGGUCUGACGAACAGAAAUCAAAUAUAAGGCAUCCUGGACUGGAAGAGCUUGAAAAUCAAAGCAAAGUCUAAUACUGCCAGAAUAUCAGGAUGUAAAUGUGGCAGAUGGAUGAGGGGGAAGAUUAUCGA